rnacentral:rRNA from 1 species
UAAGAAUUGUUCAAUCUUGAAUCGGAAUUACUGGGCGUAAAGCGCGCGUAGGUGGUUCGUUAAGUUGGAUGUGAAAGCCCCGGGCUCAACCUGGGAACUGCAUCCAAAACUGGCGAGCUAGAGUAUGGCAGAGGGUGGUGGAAUUUCCUGUGUAGCGGUGAAAUGCGUAGAUAUAGGAAGGAACACCAGUGGCGAAGGCGACCACAUGGGCUAAUAAGGAAACUGAGGUGAGCAAGCGGGGGGAGCACACAGGCGGCGAUAACAGGGUAGUCC